AGAGUGAACGCUGGCGGUAGGCCUAACACAUGCAAGUCGAACGGCAGCACAGUAGGGGCUUGCUCUUACGGGUGGCGAGUGGCGGACGGGUGAGGAAUACAUCGGAAUCUACCUUUUGGUGGGGGAUAACGUAGGGAAACUUACGCUAAUACCGCAUACGCCCUUCGGGGGAAAGCCGGGGACCAGCAAUGGCCUGGCGCUGAUAGAUGAGCCGAUGUCGGAUUAGCUAGUUGGUGAGGUAAUGGCUCACCAAGGCGACGAUCCGUAGCUGGUCUGAGAGGAUGAUCAGCCACACUGGAACUGAGACACGGUCCAGACUCCUACGGGAGGCAGCAGUGGGGAAUAUUGGACAAUGGGACGUCAAGCCUAGAUCCAGCCAAUACCGCGUCGGGUGAAGAAGGCCUUCGGUUGUAACGCCUUUUGUUAGGAAAGAAAGACGAUUCGGUUAAUACCCGGUGUUCUGACGUACCAAAGAA
rnacentral:rRNA from 1 species